GCAACUGCAAAGUCCUUGAAAUGUUGUAUGAAGCUUCAUCUUCUAGCUCACUGUAAUAUCCUGACCCCGAGUCUCGUCAAUGGUGCUUUAGUUCAAUCAUGAAGGUCGUUGAGUCCCCUAAGAUGUAGAGUCCUAAACUUGAAGAUUUUAUUUCCAUCAUCUUCAUAACCUUCUCCUUUGUAGUAACUCUUAGCAACCAAAUUGGCUUGUCCCUCGUAACAGAGCCAAAAACAUCCAAUUGGAAUCUAAAUACCCGACAAGUACUAUGUAAUGAAUUGUCAUUAGGUCCGGGUAUCAGAAUCCGCACAAUCUGCUUUCAAACUGAUUGAGAUCAUCUUGUUGUGCAAUCACUCAAUCUGGAUCCCUUUAAGAGCUUCUGAAUCUUCCUUAAGUUUCACUUCAGAUUGAAACCCAAAGAAAUAACAUCCUUUCACAAUAUCUCUCCUAGUCUUCACUUCACCAUUCGAAACAUUUAAGAACUAGAACCCGGGAAUGAUAUUGACUUCAAACCCUUUGUCUAAGCAGAUGCGUUCUUGAUAUGUCCUGUUCAUCUUUAAUGUGGUGUUGAGUUUGACUAGUGGAUCCACCAA
rnacentral:lncRNA from 1 species